rnacentral:rRNA from 1 species
GACACGACUCUCGGCAAUGGAUAUCUCGGCUCUCGCAUCGAUGAAAAGCGCAGCGAAAUGCGAUACGUGGUGCGAAUUGCAGAAUCCCGCGAAC